AGUACAAGGUCUCCCUUAGCCUAAUCUAGGCUUAAUACUCUAUUAUAGCAUGAAAUCCCUUAUUUUCCACCCGGAUGAACAGUAACCCGGACUGACAAUGGGUUACUUCAUCCCGAUUUUGAUCCACUUUCAGGACUCCAAAUUUGAUGAAAUUUUUACCUAACAUUCUACACUCAUAGAGGAUUCCAGAAUAGUAAUAUGCAUCACUAUCGGAAGCCGUUUGACCCCCAAAAUAAUUCGCCGAAGUUGGAACUUCGACAUAGUUUUUCCGUAAUGCCGGAAAAUUUGUCGAAAUCCGAUUGUUCCUCUUUUAACCACCUCUACAACCCUUAUCUGACCCCUCUAGACUACAUCCACCCUUUGUAUAACCUAAUAUCAUCAAAAGACUAGAUAGGGAUGGAUAUUUACCUUUUUUUUUUGGAAAUCGAGGUCCUUGCAUAGAGGAGAAGGAGAUCUACACUUUUUCCUUCAGCUGGAAGUGCAAUCGAGAUCCCCUUCCUCCUCGAAUCCCCUUCCUCUUCUUCUUUUUCUUCUUCUUCUUCUCUUUUUCUCUCUCUGUGUCGUCUGAGAACCCUCCCCAUUUCCUCUCUGUUUCACUCCCGUGAGCCAGCUCAAACCCUCCAAUUAAAUCACAUCAAGAUACUAUUCACUCUUUCUUUAAUAUUAUUAAAUUUCCAUUUUGCCCCUAACACUUCAGCAUAUCUACUGUUAUGCCUUUAACUUUUGAUUCUUUUCCAAUUUUACCCUUACCACUUCAACGUAUCUACAACUAUGCCAUUAUCUUUUGAUUCCUUCCAAUUUUACCCCU
rnacentral:lncRNA from 1 species